AUGUGGAGCUCCGCUGCUAAAUAGCAUCCUUAUGGACAGAGGGCCACUUGGUGGGGAGACAGCAGCCCAUACUGCACCAUGAGUUCGGCUCAGAAGCUGGCAUGUCAGGUUUACAAUCUGCAUUCAGCCAUGAACAGAGUUGGGGUAGUAUACUGCUUUCGACACCGUGAAGUUUGCAUCUGCAGUAGCCUUGGAGAUGAGCACAGAUAGAUAAAGCAAAGCUGGGAGGCAACGGAGGGGAAAAGCCAUCGAUGGUACAGCAACGAACAACAAGGCUUACGAAGAUUAUAUUGUACAUAUGCAAGAUGAGAGACGGAGCCAUAUAUUUAUAGUGUUCAACUUGAGGUGCCCCCCUUUGCUCACGAGUUACGAGCUGGUUUGGUUUUGAAUGGAUGGGGACGGCAAUGCCGUUGUUGAAUAUGCUUCUGGGUGUACACAUGCCUGAGUUCUUGUAAAUCCUUUCUUCAUUUCUUCCUGUAAGAGUAGGAGCUUUUUGGAGGCUGUUUUAGAAAAUUUCUUGCCGUGUUUGGAGAGUUUGGUUUUGGAAUUUGACUUCUACAACUGGUAAAGAAAACUUUUACAUACAGCAGGAUA